CCGACACCGGGGCGAGGACAUUGCACCUGUGGCUUCGACGGGGCCGAUUAUUAGUCAUCGGAACAGUACUCCAUCUACCGGCUGCGCACGAACCGGAACGAAGUGACUAUAGUUGUAAUCCCCCCUUUUCUUUCGCAAUGAUGCGAUUCUUGCAAAUAUGAACGAAACCCUUUCUUAUUAUUAUUUUCUUAAAUUUUCCAUUUAUACCAGUUUAAAAAAAAAGCAUUGUUUUUCUUCUUGGUAAUUAGUGUGAUUAAGUAAACGGAAAUACGGGGUCGAUUUCUCGUAACUGAAGUCAUCGAGACCGAGACGACGGAAUCAUUGCGCCGUGGUGAUGAUGAUUCAUAUCUUUUCCUUCAAUUCGAUCUAAAUAUGCGCAAGCUUUCGCCGAUUACGUUGGUUAGCCUGGUUAGAACGAACAGCGGAAAAUGUCUUUUAGAAGCUUCCUCUUCGUGCAUUCGACUUCUUGUACCGGUUUCAUUUAUUUUCAUCUUCACCGCUACUAUCAUUUCCUCAGUUCAUCAAUUUCAAAUUUGACAUCUACCUGUUUAUAAUUAAUAAUUACAAUUCAAUCUUAAUAAUCAUUUCAAUAUCUAACAAUAAGAAAAAGACAUACAUAUGUAGAUUUACAGAGCAGAACAAAAGUCUAGAAACAAAAUUUUCAGAUUUGACAAUUUUUGACAGUAUUUCUGAUAUGAGUAACACUUUGACAUUUUGGAUUUUUUAAUGCAACACAUUUUGGAACUGCAGUGCAACAACAUAUAAUGCAGAGCUUUAUUGAAGACCUUCAAUAAACUUCAAAUUUAAGAAACGUUGCUAAGAAUGGAUCCCAAUAAAACUAACAGACGACGAGGCAAAUAAAAACAAUUUUUGGUGAUGUUAGGCUCGAAAUAUAGAAUGAAUCGAAGGAUGGUGGAGAUUGGAAGAAACUAGCUAGGUUGGUAAUCCACUUAAAAUUGUAAACGAUUUGUUAAAUUAAAGAUAGGAACGAAGAAACAUUAUAUUUGAAAACAUCAAGAAAGUGAUGAUAAACUGGAUCCACGUAAAUUCACAAAUUUCUGUGAAGAGUAUAGCCCAUCAACAUAAUAUCAAACCUUUAGAAGUCAUUAUUUACCAGUAAUAAGGUUCAUGUUCGCCAUGGAAAAAGGUGUUAAACAAGGAGACAGUUUAUCCUCAUUGCUAUUUGUAGAUUUUAUGGAUGAAGUGAUGAAAACAUGCAAGAAAAGAGCAGAAACUUCGGUGGUCGGCAUUCUCAACCUCAGAUCGGUUAUGUACCAGGCUCUGAAAUAUGCAGAUAAUGUAGUCCUCAUCGCACACUCGGAGAAGAAAUUGCAACAAGCUGUAUUUGAGUGGUCAGAAACUCUAAAGGAGAAGGGCCUGAUAUUGAACAAGGUGAAGACUCAAGUUAUGGUUGUGACUAGGAUAUAGGAACAGGUAUAUAACAUUCACAUCGAAUGUGUUGGUCAACUUCUCACCCAAGUCGGCAGCUAUCAAUAUCUGGGCAUGACAAUCCAUCAGAUGGGCAAGUUUGCCUUACUGAAGAGGUCGGGAACAGAGUGCUCAAGGCUACUAAGGCGUAUGCCCUGAGUCGGUGUGUGUUUAGAAAAGAUGAAAUAAGCCGGAAGGCCAAGACAAGAGUUUAUAAACCCUAUACUUACUUAUGGUGGUGAAAGCUAGACCGCAAAGAGGAAGGACAUCAGUUGAUAUUAUAGAAUGCCUCCGGAGGGUUGCAUGAAAGACACGACGGGAUAGAGUGCGAAACAGCAGUAUUCGAGAAGAACUCAAAUGCAGCUGGUCGAAAGGAUGAUUGAGGAUUGUUUGGCCACGUAAGACGAAUGGGACAGAUAAGUAAACCACGGAUAUACAUGGAGGCCAGCAGAUUGGGACCAGCGGAAGGAAGACUAUGCAGCAGUUCAAAGGUCUUGCUGGGCUUUGAACUUUGUGCCAUCAACUCCCCAACAUACCAGUUGGCCAAAUACCUUGCAAAGAGCCCUAUCUCGCAGUCCUGCACACGCCAAAGCUCUAAGGGCUUCCUUUUGCUAGAUUAAGACCUUGGAAGUUUGAGACGAUGAUCCCCACACAUCGAUGCCAUAUUGAAGUAUGGAAUUAAAGUAGCUGAAGUAGGCGAUUCUAGCAGCUUCAUGCGUUGAGAUAAUCCUUAUUCUUCUGAUGAGGUGGGAAUCUAUGUUGAGACCAAGGAAUUUAAUCGUAUGUCCCGUAUUUGGCUGUCUGUUGCUCGACUUCUUCGGACCUUCCGAUGAGUUCCUGUCUAUUUAUAGAUGUCACCAAGAGCGAAGUAUCAGCGAAUCAAAUCAGCCGUUAAGUUUUGUAGUUCUGUAUGACAUUUCCGACCUCUAUCAAAUCUACUGGUGUGAGGAAAAUAGAACUCGCAAUCGACAUGCUUCUCUUCACGAAGAUUUCCCGACAGAGCACAGGUCCAGGUUCAGAGUGCAUCUGGUUGCCAAUCUCACAAAAAUAAUUAUUAAAGUCAUCCGGAGUUGGACCGUCAUAGUCACAACUGGUGUCUAAUUUCUUUUGAUUUUGGGUAUCUUCCUGAACGUAUCAUCGAAAUCGUUGACCGAAGAGCAUCCGGCUUUCAGUUCCCCUUUCGUCGCUGCGCGUCCAGCAGCGCGAGAGCCGUUUCCGGUGCGGGACUACGUGGUGCGUAUCGCGCUCGCCGAAGAUGGCAGAUACGGUAGGAGCAGCGCUCGGGGCAACUCCAGCGGACCGUGUCUCCCCUCGCCACCUCAUUAAGCCUAACAAUUGCACUUAUUUUCACGGCGAAGAUCACCAACGUAACUCUAGGUACUCUACGCAAGCAUCCAAAACGUCUUUUCAGUCUACUUCUUUUGCUUAUUUAACUUUCCAAAGAAAGAAGUAAAGUUAAAGAAAAUUAGAUUUCUUUAAAUUUUCAUAUCUAUAUCUAAGUUAGGUUUUUAAUGAAAAAUUCCACAGCUUUAAUCUAUUUAUACCAAUUAUUUUCGAAUUGAUCUAUUGAAAGAAUGUUUUAUAAGGUUGAUGGAAGUGGAAUAAACGGCGACAGAUGCAGAUUUAACUGUACAACCAAUUUGAACGGCAGCGCGGGUUCUUCGUCUUUUCUCUUCCGGAGCCGGGUUUUACAAUUAAAUCCGUUUGAAAAGAGCGGAGUCCCGAAGUCCCGCCGACCGUAUGCUACCGCCGCGACUAACAGCAGCGGAAAACCGGGAAUUAGAUGAACGAAUCGUCGUCGUCGUCGUGCCUAGUCACGGCGCGCUGGUUCCUCACCGAGUCGACGGCCUCGAGGUUCCGUUCAGAAGAACCCGCGACGGGUGCACGCGUCUAAAACACCCCUUUUCUUAGUCGCGCUUGGUAAACCAACGGUGAAAAAACCUGUACGUUAAACUUAAAAAGUAUUCGUUUAAAAAUAAAAUUUUUUACACUUUUUACUUCCUUUAAGUUUAAGUCACUACUUGUCAAUUAGACAUAAAUAUGACAUUGACGUAUUUAGGUUAUAAUUUAUAACAUAACCUCUUUGUCGUUAAUUUUUUAUUUUUCAAAGAACGUAAUUAAAAUUUUAAUUCAACCUGAAUAUAAUAAAUUCCAGUAGCGACAAGUUUGUUGCUAUUAAAUGUUAUUAAAAUCUCAUUAACCGUCAAGCGGAAGCGAACGAUGGUGACUACGGUGACAAUUUUAUGGUGUCAUGAUGGUUUAAAUCGAAUUUCACAUAUUUCCCACACCAUCGUUAAUUUUCCCACACCAGAAGAGAUCUAUUAAAACGACCACCCUAUUUCGUUCCGUUUUCAAUUUAUUGCUAUUACCCAAAUCAAUUAAAAACUAAAUUUACAGUUUUGAACGAUUUCCAUUUUGAUUAAGAGGCUAUUACACUAUCUCCCGAUUUACAUUGAAGAUAGGUUUUGUACAAAACAGUGUAAAUUGAAAUCUUGGAUUUUGUUAAGUAAAAUCGUGUUAAACGAAAAAAAAACGUCAUCACUUUCAUGAACUUGAGUUUUCUUGAUGCGAUUCUGACUCAAUGGUUAACGAAAUUUUGCAAAAUCUUUACAGAUUUGUGUCAUAUUGUAUGAAAUGUUGCCCAAUUUUCUUCACAAUUCAAGUCCUAAGCUAAUGAUUCUUGCUGUGCACGCAACUGGUUCAAAUUGCUCUUCAUUCGAAUCAUUGUCUUCAUCAUGUUGGUUUGUUUUAUGAACCAUGUUCAUUAAAUCAUCUUCAUUCAGUUCUUAAACUAUAAACUUGUAAGUUUAAAUGAUCCCUUAAUCUAAUGGCUAUAAUAAAGAAGUUGUAUUCUUCGGUAAAAAGACAACCUUUACAUUUUCGUGUUGUAAAUCUGGAGGAUGAGCUGGAGCAUUAUCAAUUAAUACAACGGUAAUCCCUUGUUCAUUGAAAGCUGUGGCAGCCAUCCAAUAGACGGGAAAGUUUUUGCAUUGCAACAGAAAAGAACUUUUCACUACUUUAUGACCACUAGCUGAUUUGUGAGCUUUAGCUAUGAAGGUUUUUGCUGGCAUUCUUUUUGUUCUUCAAAUCCUUUGCACUAUAGAACCUUAGACACAUAUGGCUUAACAAACAAUAUAAUAAAAUCAGUAAUAGAACAGUAUACGGUCAAUCUUAAUAUUAUGUUCAAUAAAUGUGUCAGCGAUGGAAUUUUUCCUUCAGAGUUCAAGACAGCGAGAGUCCUGCCAUUAUAUAAGAAGGGUGAUAAAAAGGACUAUAACAAUUAUAGACCUAUAUCAAUUUUGCCCGUUAUCUCCAAGAUAUUUGAAAGAUUAAUAGCAAGAUGGUUGGUGGAAUACUUUAAGACCAAUAAAUAUUUUGCGACCAGUCCCCACGGGUACCAAUUAGGCAAAUCGGUAAUGACGGCUGUUUCUGAAGUAAUUGCCUUUAUAACGAAAGCACACGAUGAGCAAAAUGUGGUUCAGAUCGACCUGCUGGACCUCAGUAAGGCAUUCGAUACCAUCAGCCACUCCAUUCUCCUGAGUAAACUUCAGUUUUAUGGUAUUAGAGGUCUAUAACUAAAUUUAAUAAGAUCUUAUUUGAUGGACAGACAACAAUAUGUUGAGUAUAAUGGUAAUAGAUCGUCUAGUGUAAAAAUCAAACAUGGUGUUCCUCAGGGGUCUGUUCUUAGACCUCUCCUGUUUAUCAUCUGCCUUCCAACAUUAUUGAAGAAACAUAUUUAUAUGCUGAUGAUACAUCCAUCGUAUUAAAGGACACUACAAAGGAUAAAUCACAAGAAGCUAUAGUGUCCACUCAAGAAUGGUUCAGUAAAAAUCUGCUCAAACUAAACAGUGAAAAAACAGAACAUAUAGUGUUGGAGACCACUCGACGUGGGAGGGAAUCUACAACUUUAAAAUUUUUGGGUAUGCAUCUAGACAGCGGAAUGACGUGGCAAGUACACUUGAAGCAUCUGAGGACUAGGCGGACUUCUGCUAUCUUUACAAUACGAAGACUAAAACAAGUAACCCCUCGCCAGGCAGCGAGGUUGUCAUACUUUGCAUCUCUUCACUCGGUGGCGUCGUAUGGUGUUCUUUUCUGGGGUGGGGCAUCUGAUUUUCUGAACUUCCUUGAUUUCCAUAGCUAUCUGACAAGAUCACGACACCAAUAUCAGGUACCGUACCUCAGAAUUGCAUCAACGCAAAAGUAUGUGGAUUACUGGGGUCCAAAACUCUAUAACCAACUACCACCGCAGCUGAUUGCGCUGUCUAGGGAACGGUUUAAGAGGAAAAUAAAAGAAUAUUUGAUGGAGAACGUUUUCUAUUCGUGCGAGGAAUAUCUCACGACAGUUCAGUCUCACAAUUUUAAUGCGUAAUGUGUAGUGUGUAAUUGCCAUGAAAUGUAUAUUUGUAUUAUUAAUAUUUCAUUCUACUUCUUAUGUAUUCAAUAACGUUUUGUAGUAAUGGUUUGUAUGUAUGUAUGUAGGAAAGCGGAGGGUAUGCUACGCACACAGCACCUAGGCCCCAACGGGCCCCUUGUACAUUCUUCUACACUGUCUCCGGCUACAUCAACCAGCCUAAGGAAUUUCCGAAGGCUAGGAUACA